rnacentral:rRNA from 1 species
GACGAACGCUGGCGGCGUGCCUAACACAUGCAAGUCGAACGGAAAGUCCCUGCCUUUGUGCGGUCCUCUAGUUGCGAACUGGUGAGUUACACUUGGGUAACCUGCCCUUGACUUUGGGAUAUCUUCAUGCCACUUGGUCUCAUACCGGCUAGGAUCUCCUGCUUCUUGGUGGGGGUUGGUUAGUUUCGCUGGUUGGUGAUGUACUCGCCGCUUAUCAGCUUGUUGGUUGGGUAGUGGCUUACCAAGGCUUUGACAGGUAGCAGGCCUGAGAGGGUGACCGGCCAAAUUGGGACUGAGAUACGGCCCAGACUACUACGGGAGGCAGCAGAGGGGAAUAGUGCACUAUGGGCGGAAGGCUGAUGCAGCAAAGCCGCGUGCGGGAUGACAGCAAUCGGGUUGUAUACCGAAUUCGCCUGUGACGAAGCGUGAGUGACGGUAAUGGGUAAAGAAGCACCGGCUAACUACGUG